AUCAUUAUGUUAUGAAAUUUUCAUAUAGUACAAUAGAUUUAAGUCGUUAGCAAUGCAGUGAAAUUAUAAAAAAAUAUGAUAUAAUAAGAUAUUAUUGUAAGUUGGGAAGGGACAGUCAUAGAUUGACUGUAGAUUUAUAUUUAUUGUAACGCCGUGUCAAGUACAAUAUGAAUAUACGUCAUAAAUACAAUGAAAUAUGAUAGAUAAUCUAAUGUAUACAUAUUAUAUGUGUAUAUAUAUAUAUAAUGUACGAUAUGAUUAAAAAAAUAUUUAUUCCUGGAGUGAAGUUUUCUGAGACCUUGACCCCUUGGCUGAUGAUGGCUGUUGGUCACACUGGUCGCCGGGCCUGUGGUACUGUCGACGGUGGUGAACGUUGUGCGAAACGGUCGGUGUAAAACAGCGUACACGAAAACGCUGAUAAUCAACCGGAUAAACAACGAUUGCAGUUAUAGCAGAACAGCUGCACCGGUGCAGUUGCAAUGCCGUUGCGAGCAUUGAGAUAUUUACCUGAAUUUUAUUCUCCACUACUCGGGAGGAGUGCACUGCGGCGGCCGAUGGACCGAAUGAGAACCAUGGUUUUCUCUUCCACGGCCGUCGUCGUUCCUGUGAUACGACCCCCCCACACGUCCCUUCACUGAUGUUUGGGACAACAUUUCCCCCCCGGCCAUAAGUGGUCGUAGACCGUAGUGGCGGUAAGCUCGUCGUGUUCCGUUUCGCGUCGACGGGUCGUCCGUGUCCCCCUGGUUUGUUCUGAAGUUCCGUUAUCCAUAGUCCAAAUUUUUUCGGGUUUCGCCAUCUGAAUAUCUAGUGCCGCUGUUUGGGUUUCCGUUAUCGUUUCACCGCCGGGGGACGCGGUGAACGUUGGCUACUGGAAGUGCGCGCGAUUAUUCCGUUGUCCGUUUGCGUCGUCUGGCCACUCGCGACCACCGGCGGAGUUCGCUGGCCGCCGGAGCCCGGAGGCCCUAGUGGACACCGAUGACUUGUACCGUCGACUUUAUGUCGGACGGCCCGUGACGAAUGAAUUGUGCUGACGCCGUACAAAUGGCUUGGGCUUCGAUGUUACUAUCUGAAUUGGUAUCUACAUUGUAGUAAGUCCAUGUUUGGUAACUUUUAAGGUAAGUGGAUGAAUAUUGUUUAUAGUUCAAAAAAUUUGCUUCAAUUAUAAUUUUUUUCUUCAAUAUUAACUACACUUCUGAUGGUAAAGGUAUUAUACAAAAAACUAAAAUUAUUAAGUAAUUACAAUCUUUUGAUUUUUGAAUUCAUGAUUUAUGAUUAUAAGUCUUGUUAAUGUAUUGUAUAAUACUAAACCUUGCUACCUAUUGAAAUUAAACAUAAUUUUGUGUUACGCAUUAAGAAUUUAAGUUAGGUAAUUUCUAUUAAAUACAUUUGUUUUGCUUAAAUAGUUAACAUUAUUAGAUGGUAAACAUAAUGUUUAUUUUAUUUCUUUAGUAUAUUAUGAUGUUCAAAAUACACAUGUUUAAAUAAUAUUUAGUUUUAAGAUAAAAAUCAGAGAAUCUUUUAUUUUUUGUCCCUUUGAAGAUUAUGAAGAAAAACUGGUAAGUUUUGCUUUGCUUAAUAUGUUAAAUAUAAUAAUUGUUAUUUAUUAAAAAGUAAGAUUCAAUGUUAUUUUUGCUAGUAUUUUUUAUCAGUUUUUGAUUUACUAAGUAAGAGUCAUAUGUAGGGUUUUUGCUUUUAUACGCUUUCAGUUGGAUCUAGCUGUAAAUCAAGAUGCUGAUCUGUUUAUGGUUUCAACUAAAGGUUUGUUGAAGGAGACAAAAAAUAUUCAUCUGUACAUUUGGAUUUUAAUAUUAAAAUAAUAAUUAUUAUUUUGUUUAUUUUAAAUACCUAAAACAUUUAAAAAAUAUUUUUAUUGAAUAAUGGAAUUGUUUAAAUAAAGCAUCAGUUGAGUAUUAGAAUUAGUUAAUUGAAUUAUAAUAAUAUGAAAAUUAUUAUUUCCAUAAUUCAAACUAUGAUAAGAUAUAAUUAAUGCAUUUUUUUGCAAGACAUGACAAUUUUGAAUGUAAUAUGUAAUCUUCCUUGCUUACACAUUUCAUUCAAUUGUUUUGCCUGUGCAUUUAAUUGUUAUAUUAAAUUAUAGUGUUGAUAAACAAUAAAAAAUAAUAUUUUAUAGUAAACAAAUGUAUUGUUUUGAUUUAAAUUAAUAAAUCCUAUUUUUAGGAAUUUCUAUUAAUACAUUAAUUUAAUCUCUUAUUUUAAAAUGCUUUAAAUUUCUUAUGAUUCAGUAACUUAAAUAUAUUAUUUCUUUAUUAUUUUUAUAAACUAACUUAAGUGGUGUUUUAUUUUCAAAAAUAAUUUGUUAUAUUAAAAAAAAAUAAUAAUAAAGAGUUAGUUUUAUUAAUUAUUAAGCAAUUAAGUGUUUUUAGCUAUGAAAUAAAAUUUAUAUUUAAAUUUAUACUAUUUAGUAUAUCCAAGCGUAUUGAUGAAAUGAUUCUCUAGUUUUUUUUUAUUGAAUUAAGUUGAUGAUUAUUUAUUUAAACAUUAUCAAAAAUAAAAUAAGUAUAUUUACUUGUGUCUACUUGUAUUUUUAUGUUUAUCAGUUGAUUUUAUGACAUUUAUGUAAAGUGAUUUGUUUUCAAAUUAAAUGAUGGUGCCGUGUAAAAAAAUAAUAAUAUAUAUUUAGCAAAAUUGAUAUAUCUACUUUUUUCAUCAAUAUUUUAUGUAUCAUUUUUUUGUUUAUUUAUAAUCUGAUAAUUUGUGAUUUGGAUUGAAAAUAUCUAGUAUAAGGUAAGUAUUGGUAACCAAGGUUAAUCAAUUAGCUUUUAAGAUAAAUCAUUCAAAAUUAUGUAUGAUAUGGUAUUGUAAUCUAUGGAUUAAUUAUAGUCCUAUUACAUUAUAUUAUCAACUGUACAUUUUCAGGACUCAUGUGUAUAGCUUUAAAAAUGCUUAAACAUAAGUAAAGUGAGUAUUGUUGAAAAUUAAGUAUAAUAUUGUAUAUUUACUAUUUAAAAAAUAAUAAUUUUAAUGUAUUAAAAUGCUAGGUACUUCAAUUUUACAUAAUAUACUAUAUAUAUGAUUUAAUUAAUUUUUAAUAUUCCUUGAGAAUUAAUUACUUAGUAUUUCAGACUUCAACAUAAGCAAUGAAACAAAUGAAUUUCAAAAACCAGGUAAUAUAUAAAUACUUUGUUCACAAAUCUCUCUUUUGAUAUAUAUAUAUAUAUCAAUAUAUAUAUGAAAUUGCUUAAUUAAGUUUUUCAGAUUGAGUUGAAUAUCAUAUUUAAUGAUGUAUUAACAUUAAUUAGUAAUUGUUUAUUAUUAUUUAAAAAUAAUAAUUAUUAAUUAAUGUAAGUAUGAUUAGAUACUCAGUAGAGAUUUUACAGAUAAGCAAUUAGUUUCAUAAAAUUAUGAUUAGAAAUAUAAUUUUAACGUAUACUUAAAUUUCAUUUUCUUAAAAUUACUGUAGGUAGGUAUGUUAAAUUGUUUUUUAAAAAUAAAAUUGGGUGAAUUGUUUUUGAUAACAUAAUAACUAAAUAUUAAUUUCCUUUUCUCUUAAUUAUUAAGACAUUAAGUAUUAUUUUUGUACUUUGUUAUUUAAUAGUUGUUAAUUUGUUUAUUAUAAAAAAGAUUUUAUUUAAAAUAAAGUUUUAAAGUAUUAAAAACUGUUGACAACAUAAAUCAUAACUUUACUUUUGUUAUAGAAAAUGAAUAAAGUUAAGCUAAAACAUUUUAUUCGAAUCAGAAUGUUUGAAAUAAUUCUGCUAGUUAAGUUAAAUUUUUUUUUACUUAAGAUUAAAUUGAUAAAUUUCAAUAAAUAAUUAUGAUAGGUAACUAAUUUUCCAAGUCAAUUUUAUUGUCUAAAAAAAUGUUUUUAUGAUUGGCUUUCUAUGCGAUUUUCUUAUAUUAGUCUUAUCAAUGAAUAUGGUUUGUUGUGAUCUUCAAGGUAUUGUUUAACUAAUAGAAAUAAAAUAUGGCACAAUCUCAUAAACAUGUUAAAAAGGAAAAAAGUAUUAGUUUUAGAAUUACGUAUUUAAUAAUAUUUUCAAAACAUACACUUAUAAUGUGGACACCUUAUAUUUAUAAUAUUUGAAUUAAAAAAAAAAUGUUUUCCAUCUCAAAUUAAUAUGUGUUGAAUUGGUAGCAGAUGACAAGAUUCCAGUUUUUACUUCAAUCUAUUCAUUUAAAUUUUAAGUAUUUUUCUAUUUUUGUUCAAAUUUUUUUUUUUCAUAAACAUUUUUAAGAAAUAAAUUCUAUUAUUGUUCUAUUGUAAGUAUACAACUAAAAAUAAAUCAGGUAUGUCCUGUUAUUUUAUUUGCUAAAAUAUAUACUUAUAGUUUCAUUUAGUAAGUCUUUUCAACAAAUCUAUUGGUCACUUUUUUUUUAUUAAAAUAUACAGUUGCCCUUUAAAUUGUAUUUACAGUAUAUAUUUAUUACCUCCUUAAAUUAUUAAAAAAAAUUCUAUUCAUGUAUGAAAUCAAAAAUCAUCAUUAUGAGUUCUAUGUUAGAAAUAAUCUUAGUAUUAGAAUCUUAAUAUUGAAAAAAAAAAAUAAUAAAAUAAAAUUUAUCAUUUAUAAAAACCAAAUUUAAUUAAAAAUAAUUUUAGACUGCAUAAUUUUACUGAUCUAUUAUAUUAAUUGUCUUUAUUUAGAUAAAUUUGAUCAAAAUAUCCUUUUUCAAUCAGAUUGUCCAGUUGUUUAUAUCCAUUGUAGUUCUGUGUCUGCUAUAUUGUUUCCUUAUGUUUUUUCCCAGUUUCUGUCGGAGCCUUCAGUUGCAUUGGUUGUCAUUCAUCAUAUUACACUACAAAAUCAGAGUUGACUCAGCAUAAGAAGUUCGAAUGACAACUCUAAUCUACAUUCUGUUGUUCCUACUGCUUCAAAAUUAUUCCGUGGAAAAUUUUGUUGAAUCAACUGUGUACCACAAUAUCGUUAGAAAAAAAUAUAUAUCCUACUCAUAUAUUAUUCAAGAUUUGAUUAGUUUUUUGUAUAUAUUUAAUUUAUACACAUUUUUUGAACACUAUCGUAUUUUUAAUGAUCAUAUUUGUAGUUAAAAUUUUAAUUAACCUGUACUACUUACUUGGUGCUGAUACAUAUCUCAUGUAAUUUGUUAAUUAUUGUAUGUUAGUAUUUUUUAAUGGUUUCUGUAUCAAUAAUUUUCAAUUGAUAUUAAAUUUUGUAUUGUGUAUUUUUUUUUAAUUACUGUUGCGAUCAAUUUUUUGUUAAUACAAUUUAGUUAUUUUUUGCAUCAUAUAUAAUUUCACAAUUGUUAUUUAUUUCCUUUUGUAACGCAACAGAUAAACUUUUCCCUCUGUGAUAAUUUGUUUUUUUUUUUUAAAUCAUUGGUUUGUAAACAAAUUUUACAGAUUUUUGGAGAAAGGAAUAAAUUAUAAGAUUUAUAGUAAAAA